CUGCUGACGGUGUGGCUCAAAGAAGCUCUGCGCUCGCCAGGCUUCCCAUCAUCGCGUGUCUCCGAUGAGCAGAAAGACACGUUCAGUCAACAAGUGCUCAGGGAGCGAGUGAACAAGCGGCGAGUGAAAGACAUCGUGAAGGAGUUCACCCUAGUGUGCCGUGGCCUUCACGGGACCGAGUACGCCGCAGAUUACUGAGACACGGUGUGAGGAAACCCAAAAUGUACAAUUCCCAGAAGCCCUCACUGCGACAUGAAUGAUACUGACAGUCUGAGAGUCGGGAUCUUCCUCCAACUCGUCCUUCUCUCUCUCUCUCUCUCUCUUUCAACCACUCUCCCAUUGGAUUUUGGGGUCUCCGUAGGGCGAUCCGAACAGUCGACAUCUCCGCUCCCCGCAUCUCACGGCAUGUUCGCUGGAUUUGAUUCCCCCACGUUCGAUCUUCCGUGGCUCUCGGGCUGUUUUCCUUGUGAUGAUUUGCAUCCGUUUGAACUAAGAAAUAGUGUUAGGUAAAUGUUUUUUAUUUUUUAUUUUGGAGAAAUAAAAAGCAUACAUAUAUAUAUAUACACGCAUAUAUAUAUUAAAAUAUAUAUAAAUGCACAUAAUAAUCUAGUGAACCGUGGGGUGACGAGUCCGUGUGCUGCUAACAGAGAGAGGGACCAAUACAGACUUGUUUUUUUCUCUGUGGCUUUAUAUCUAUCCUCUAUAUCUGUCUGUCUAACCCCUCCUCACACUCAAUUCUGCCAAAAUGUUGUGGACGUUUUUUGAUAAAAUGAUUAUGAUUGUUUUUGAUAUACAUAUAUAUAUAUAUAUAUAUGAGGUCAGCAGCAUAUUUGGGGACUAGUAGAGACUGGGUGUUACACGGUGAGAAAGAGAGAUCCGCAAAGAUGAUAGUUCACUCAAAAAAUUGGCUUAUUUACCCACCCUAAUGUUGUUCUAAACUAGUAUGAUUUCUUUCUUUAAAAAUUCUCCUUUUGUGUUUGAUUGAAGAAAUAUAGUCAAACAUGUUUAAAAAUGACACAAGGGUGCAUCAAUUAUUUUUUGGGUGAACUGUCCCUUUAAAUUUGGUUGGUACAUGCACACAAAUCAAACAAUUGAGUGCACUCAAGUAAUUGAACAGGUACUGCUUGUCUCUUUCUCGUUUCGCCCGGCUGCUGCUUGCCGACAUGUAGCAUGUGUGUUGCGUUACAUACGGGCCCAGAAUGUGUCGUAAUCAGUGGAUGAGGGCUGACUGUUCUAUCGUGUUCGUUUACUAGUGAGUCACAGAGUGAGAACAGAAGGGAGAGACAGAGGAGUCAAAUGUACAUUAGUUUUUUUUGUACCUUGUUUUAAUUUAUUAAAUACAUCUGAGAUGGCA